rnacentral:rRNA from 1 species
UACGAACCGUACAAACGUUAUUCGGAAUCACUGGGCUUAAAGGGUAUGUAGGCGGCCCUUCAAGUCGGGUGUGAAAGCCCUCGGCUCAACCGAGGAACUGCGCCCGAUACUGUGGGGCUCGAGGGAGACAGAGGUAAGCGGAACUGAUGGUGGAGCGGUGAAAUGCGUUGAUAUCAUCAGGAACACCAGUGGCGAAAGCGGCUUACUGGGUCUCUUACUGACGCUGAGAUACGAAAGCUAGGGGAGCAAACAGG